rnacentral:rRNA from 1 species
AUUGAACGCUGGCGGCAGGCCUAACACAUGCAAGUCGAGCGGAUGAAGGGAGCUUGCUCCUGGAUUCAGCGGCGGACUGGUGAGUAAUGCCUAGGAAUCUGCCUGUUAGUGGGUGAUAACGUCCGGAAACGGGCGCUAAUACCGCAUACGUCCUGAGGGCGAACGUGGGGGAUCUUCGGACCUCACGCUAUCAGAUGAGCCUAGGUCGGAUUAGCUAGUUGGUGGGGUAAAGGCCUACCAAGGCGACGAUCCGUAACUGGUCUGAGAGGAUGAUCAGUCACACUGGAACUGAGACACGGUCCAGACUCCUACGGGAGGCAGCAGUGGGGAAUAUUGGACAAUGGGCGAAAGCCUGAUCCAGCCAUGCCGCGUGUGUGAAGAAGGUCUUCGGAUUGUAAAGCACUUUAAGUUGGGAGGAAGGGCAGUAAGUUAAUACCUUGCUGUUUUGACGUUACCAACAGAAUAAGCACCGGCUAACUUCGUG